GAUGAACGCUGGCGGCAUGCCUAACACAUGCAAGUCGAACGACAACACAAUAAGCUCUCGCUCUCACCGUUAGCGGCUGACGGGCGAGUAAGACGUACAUAACCAUCUAAUAUUACUGGGAUAAUUACGGGAAAACGCAUAUAAUAACACAUAAUAUGUCCAACGGCAGGGUUCAAUAGUGAAAGAUGCCUUUCCUGUCUCUUAUAGAUGAACCCGCGAUGUAUAAUUUAGUUGGUAAGGUAACGACUCACCAAGGCAACGCUACGUAGCCGAUCUGAGAGGGUGAUCAGCCACACUGGAACUGAGACACGGUCCAGACUCCUACGGGAGGCAGCAGUGGGGAAUAUUGCGCAAUGGGCGAAAGCCUGACCGAGCAAUGCCGCGUGAGUGAAGAAGGUCUUCGGAUUGUAAAGCUCUUUUGUUAGGAAAGAACAGACGUAUAAGUAAAUGUGCCUGUUUUGACGGUACCUAAAGAGAAAGCAACGGCUAACUACGUG
rnacentral:rRNA from 1 species